UGGGGAAUCUUGGACAAUGGGGGCAACCCUGAUCCAGCCAUGCCGCGUGAGUGAUGAAGGCCUUAGGGUCGUAAAGCUCUUUCGCCUGUGAAGAUAAUGACGGUAGCAGGUAAAGAAACCCCGGCUAACUCCGUGCCAGCAGCCGCGGUAAUACGGAGGGGGUUAGCGUUAAUCGGAAUUACUGGGCGUAAAGCGCGCGUAGGCGGUUGCUUAAGUCGGAUGUGAAAGCCCCGGGCUCAACCUGGGAACUGCCUCCAAAACUAUUGGUCUAGAGUUCGAGAGAGGUGAGUGGAAUUCCAAGUGUAGAGGUGAAAUUCGUAGAUAUUUGGAGGAACACCAGUGGCGAAGGCGGCUCACUGGCUCGAUACUGACGCUGAGGUGCGAAAGUGUGGGGAGCAAACAGGAUUAGAUACCCUGGUAGUCCACACCGUAAACGAUGAAUGCCAGUCGUCGGGUAGCAUGCUAUUCGGUGACGCAGCUAACGCAUUAAGCACUCCGCCUGGGGAGUACGGCCGC
rnacentral:rRNA from 1 species